rnacentral:rRNA from 1 species
GAUGAACGCUGGCGGCGUGCCUAAUACAUGCAAGUCGAGCGAACGGACGAGGAGCUUGCUUCUCUGAUGUUAGCGGCGGACGGGUGAGUAACACGUGGAUAACCUACCUAUAAGACUGGGAUAACUUCGGGAAACCGGAGCUAGUACCGGCUAAUAUUUUGAACCGCAUGGUUCAAAAGUGAAAGACGGUCUUGCUGUCACUUAUAGAUGGAUCCGCGCUGCAUUAGCUAGUUGGUAAGGUAACGGCUUACCAAGGCAACGAUGCAUAGCCGACCUGAGAGGGUGAUCAGCCACACUGGAACUGAGACACGGUCCAGACUCCUACGGGAGGCAGCAGUAGGGAAUCUUCCGCAAUGGGCGAAAGCCUGACGGAGCAACGCCGCGUGAGUGAUGAAGGUCUUCGGAUCGUAAAACUCUGUUAUUAGGGAAGAACAGAUGUGUAAGUAACUGUGCACAUCUUGACGGUACCUAAUCAGAAAGCCACGGCUAACUACGUG